UGAGCAAUCUGCCCUUCUCAUCGGAAUAAGCGUUGGAAACGACGUCUAAUGCCGAAUACGACCUCCUUUCGCAUGAUCGGAGGUGGAAAGCUCCGGCGGAGAAGGAUGAGCUCGCGGCCUAUCAGCUAGUUGGUGUGGGUAAUGGCCCACCAAGGCGACGACGGGUAGCCGGCCUGAGAGGGUGACCGGCCACACGUGGGACUGAGACACGGCCCAGACCUCCGUACGGGAGGCAG
rnacentral:rRNA from 1 species